rnacentral:tRNA from 1 species
GGAAUGCUGGCCGAGCGGUCGAAGGCGGUCGCCUUGAAAGCGACUGAACCGUUAAGGUUCCGUGGGUUCGAAUCCCUCGCAUUCCG